GUGGGGAAUUUUGGACAAUGGGCGAAAGCCUGAUCCAGCCAUGCCGCGUGCAGGAUGAAGGCCUUCGGGUUGUAAACUGCUUUUGUACGGAACGAAAAGACUCCUUCUAAUAAAGGGGGUCCAUGACGGUACCGUAAGAAUAAGCACCGGCUAACUACGUGCCAGCAGCCGCGGUAAUACGUAGGGUGCAAGCGUUAAUCGGACUUACUGGGCGUAAAGCGUGCGCAGGCGGUUAUAUAAGACAGAUGUGAAAUCCCCGGGCUCAACCUGGGAACUUCAUAUGUUACUGUAUAGCUAGAAUACGGUAGAGGGGGAUGGAAUUCCGCGUGUAGCAGUGAAAUGCAUAGAUAUGCGGAGGAACACCGAUGGCGAAGGCAAUCCCCUGGACCUGUACUGACGCUCAUGCACGAAAGCGUGGGGAGCAAACAGGAUUAGAUACCCGGGUAGUCC
rnacentral:rRNA from 1 species